rnacentral:lncRNA from 1 species
ACCUAUUAAUAUAUGAACUAUUUUAAGCCUAAAGACUUGGACUUUAGUUUAAAAAUUCUUUCACUAUUUUAUACAAAUUAGUAGCUUCUACCUCCAAUCUGAAGAAUUACUUUAAUUUCUUAGUAGGUACUAGAUCCACACAGACUACAUUCAGGCCCGAGUGUGGAUCGGCCAAUCCUAGUGCAUCCAUGGGUAGGUUCAUAAUUAAUUAUUUUUUUAAAUAAUUUUUAAUAAUUAGAUUUUUCCUCGAACAUCCUUUCAGUAGGCGUGUGGUGCUUCCACUAAAAAUUUUGGUUAGGUCCAACCAUUAACAUGACAAUAUUAAGUACAUCCAACAAACAAAUGUCCAAGUUCGAGUGUGACUCGACCAAUUUGAGCAUUGAUCUAAAGGUAUAAUAAGA